AAAUGUUAAUCUAAAGGAGAACCACCCAUUUAAAAAUAAAAAAAGAAGACCAAUUGAAAAGUUGCUUAGAACAGUCCAAUAUACUAAAAGUAAGGUGAACCUGCACUGCAACUACUAUAAAUACUUUGUUCAAGCUCCUCCCCCAAGAGACCCUUGUGCUUCUGGGAGCCCAGGGCAAAACCCGAGCAAGUGCGAGUCCCAGAAGCCUCAGCGGGAUGAUCCAUCAGUCGGUUGUGACUCAGGCUAGAGCUGUCUCUAGUAUUGCUGAGCUCUGUAUGGAUUCCCGUGGCACUGGGUAAAGACUAGAGAAAGGCGAUGUUCGUUCUGUUGCAACCGGUCUUUAUUCUCUUGUGCCCUUAGGCGCUGAAAUAGUUAAUGUGAGCAGAGUUGGAGGGGGUGGGGCCCCAGAGUUGGAGGGGGUGGGGCCCCUGCUGCCCCUGUAGCCACGUCACCCUGCGAAUCCCUCACCCUCUUCCCUUUCUAAUAAAGUUCUCACGUUUGAAUGAUUUUUUCUCCUCUGCAGCUGCUGCUUGUAGUCUUACUGCUGGGGCUUCCCCUGCUGGGAGCGAGUCGGAGCGGAGAAAAACGAUCUGCUUCAAUCAGAAGAGGCCGUAACUUGGCGUCGCCAGCGCAACCGGAUUAAGCUUGAAGGCCAAAUAAUGCGGCAGCUGAAGGGAAAGCCCAAGAAAGAGACAUCGAAAGAUAAAAAGGAGAGGAAACAGGCCAUGCAAGAGGCCCGGCAGCAGAUAACGACUGUAGUGCUUCCCACGCUGGCCGUGGUGGUGGCAUUAAUUGUCGUAUUUGUGUAUGUGGCAACGCGUCCAAAUACAAUAGAAUAGUCAUCUCAUGCACAGCUGCCUUCUGGCAAUGGAGCCAAAAACAGAUUUUUUUUUUUUAAAGAAUUUUACCAUUCUGAAAAUUUGUAAAAUGGACCCUUUAAUCACCUGCAGUGUUUUUAGCCAACUGUCCUUUUUAUUGAAUGUAACAAAGAGCAAAUAUCAAUGACAAACGUGCCAUACGUUCCAAGUAAAACAGUUACGGUGCCUUUUUAUAGUGAUUUUUUUUUUCUUUUUUAAUAAAAUAUGCUUAUACAGCAGUGUA